rnacentral:rRNA from 1 species
UACAGAGGUCUCAAGCGUUGUUCGGAUUCAUUGGGCGUAAAGGGGUGCGUAGGUGGCGCCGUAAGUCGGGUGUGAAAUUUCGGAGCUUAAACUUCCGAAACUGCAUUCGAUAACUGGCGGUGCUUGAGGACUGGAGAGGAGACUGGAAUUCAUGGUGUAGCAGUGAAAUGCGUAGAGAUCAUGAGGAAGACCAGUGGCGAAGG